rnacentral:rRNA from 1 species
UCUGACAUACUCUAGCCUGACAGUCACAAGCGCCAUUCCCAAGUUGAGCUCGGGGAUUUCACGCCUGUCUUAUCAAACCGCCUGCGCACGCUUUACGCCCAGUAAUUCCGAUUAACGCUCGCACCCUACGUAUUACCGCGGCUGCUGGCACGUAGUUAGCCGGUGCUUAUUCUUCCGGUACCGUCAUCGACGCCGGGUAUUAACCAGCGCCAUUUCUUUCCGGACAAAAGUGCUUUACAACCCGAAGGCCUUCUUCACACACGCGGCAUUGCUGGAUCAGGGUUGCCCCCAUUGUCCAAAAUUCCCCACUGCUGCCUCCCGUAGGAGUCUGGGCCGUGUCUCAGUCCCAGUGUGGCUGAUCGUCCUCUCAGACCAGCUACUGAUCGUCGCCUUGGUAGGCUCUUACCCCACCAACUAGCUAAUCAGACAUCGGCCGCUCCUGUCGCGCGAGGCCGUUACCGGUCCCCCGCUUUCACCCUCAGGUCGUAUGCGGUAUUAGCUAAUCUUUCGACUAGUUAUCCCCCACGACAGGGCACGUUCCGAUGUAUUACUCACCCGUUCGCCACUCGCCACCAGGCCGAAGCCCGUGCUGCCGUUC